AUCUCAGGCUGAGCAGGGUCGGGCCUGGUUAGCACUAGGAUGGGAGAAAGGGGAGCCAGAGAGAUGC
rnacentral:miRNA from 1 species